ensembl:lncRNA
AGUAUCUCAAAUGUGAAUAAUAUGGUUAGAUUAUAUCAUGGAAGAAAUCAAAUGAAUAGUGCGUUCCCUUCCAGCUGAAUAACGGUGAAGAGGGACUAGAGGACGAGCUUCCACUGUUUCUGACUGUGUGCCGUUCUGUUCCCAUAAUCUGGAUGUACUCUCACUGACACUCACAAAGAGACUAGUAGGGAGUCAAAUAGGACAGCGAGCUAUCGGAGCUGUUACUAUGCAGUCAGGGAACACACAAUGGUCACUAAUGUUGUCUGUAGCUCUGGAGCCUGCCAGCUAUUCAGCCAGCCCAGCCAGCACUGCAGUACAUUUAAUCAGCCAGCCCAGCCAGCACUGCAGUACAUUUAAUCAGCCAGCCUAGCCAGCACUGCAGUACAUUUAAUCAGCCAGCCUAGCCAGCACUGCAGUACAUUUAAUCAGCCAGCCUAGCCAGCACUGCAGUACAUUUAAUCAGCCAGCCUAGCCAGCACAUGCAGUACAUUUAUUCAGCCAGCCCAGCCAGCACUGCAGUACAUUAUUCAGCCAGCCCAGCCAGCACUGCAGUACAUUUAAUCAGCCAGUCCAGCCCAGCCAGCACUGCAGUACAUUUAAUCUGCCAGCCCAGCCAGCACUGCGGUACAUUUAUUCAGCCAGCCAGCCAACACUGCAGUACAUUUAUUCAGCCAGCCCAGCCAGCACUGCAGUACAUUUAUUCAGCCAGCCCAGCCAGCACUGCAGUACAUUUAUUCAGCCAGCCCAGCCAGCACUGCAGUACAUUUAUUCAGCCAGCCCAGCAAACACUGCAGUACAUUUAUUCCGAAGAAAAAAAAAGAAAAACAAAGGGAUGUAGUUUUCUAUAUAAAGUCCUUGUGGUUGUUACUAAGCAACAAGCAGAGAAUUACACUGUGCAGUGGGGCUGAUUGAAAUGUGAGAGAAGAGAGAGAAGAUUACAUGACAUGGCAGGCCGAGGGGCUAACUGCCUGCCUGCCUACUUGCAUGCCGCAGAGCUGACACUAUUCUCACACAACACAGGCCUGAGUGUGUUUUUGUCAACAGGCCAAUUUCCCAGGAUACAGUGCAGAAAGCAAUGCAGAAAGCAUUCACUCAGUAGUGAUCAAUCCUGAAUGACCAUGUCUGGUCUCUUGAAUGAUACACAUCUGGAUUUGAAUGGAUGAACACUAAUUCAGAUGGACUACCCAGACAGACAACCAUCUCACAGUGGCUCUUUUCAAUACAUCUAUGGUACAUAUCUUAACCUUGACACCCCCCCCCCCCCCAUUUGCUGGGUGGUGGUAAAGAGAGCCAAGCAGGAUCCUUUUCUCGAUUCCUUGCAUCCUUGUCCGAGUGAAGGGACCUUGGACCUUCUCCUUCAAUAUGGUUGAGAAGUAGGAGAGGAGUGAAUCUGCAGACUGCCUAAAUUAGAUAAUGCCUACCCUCUCUCAGACAGGAUCUCUCAACUAGAGACUAGUCCCCCCCCCCUCCAGUAGCAGCUGGCAGGCCUGUUAGGUAUAGGGCCAUGUCACUGAACCCCCUCACCAGUAGCAGCUGGCAGGCCUGCUAGGUAUAGGGCCAUGUCACCGAACCCCCUCACC